rnacentral:lncRNA from 1 species
UUGCUUUCUUUGCAAUUAAUGAACAGAUGUAGAACCACAUCAAUAACAAGAUUUUUCUUUUACUAGCCCAAUCUUUAUAUGAUAUGUGGGGUUCGAGGCGUUGCCUCCCCCUCUUUUUUCAGAACGCGUGACACAAAUUUCGUCACUUUUUUUUAUUUUUUAUGUCAAAUAUGGGGCUCAUGUUUCGGUCAAUUAUCUCAAAAAACAAGAUGGAAGAUUAACAAUUCUCGAGAUACGAUAAUUAAUUCCAAGUAUUGAAUUAGGUCAAGACCAUAGUUUAUGAUAACUCAAUUCGAUGUAAACCGUGACAAAUUCUGUCACAAAUUGAUGUAACCACGACAAUUUCAGUCACAAAUCGAUGUUAACCACGACAAUUUCCGUCGCUAAUCAAUGUUUGUCCCUUGAUUAACCACGACAAAAUUGUCGUAAUACCGUGAUUUAUCAAACCGUCAUAAAUUUCAACUUUGAUAUGAGGAGUCUCAAUUCCUCACAUGAACCCACGUUAUAAGAAAGAUGAGGGUAGAAGAAGGCUACGAAGCUUGGCUAUGAAAUUAAAAUUUAACAGCGGCAACUUUUAUAAAAGCUUACUUACUAAUUUGCCAAAUAAAUUACGUGUAAGAGAAGUUGCCCGUGUAAUUUUCAUACGUAUUUCCAUGUGCGUGCAGAGAAGUUACUCGUGCAAUUCCAUAGCGAUGAGUCACGCGAUAAAUUUCAUGAAAUGAAAACAUAUAGUUAGUAAUAUUCACCAUAUAUAUUAAAACAGUAAAACUAAUUAAAUAGUUACUACUGUAAAUAAACUGUUUUUACUCGUGGGCAAAAACAAAAUUACCUGGAGGGGAAAAUUUACUGUUUUGCCCCUCGUACAAUUAUACAAUUAUGCGUUCUCUCUUCUGCUCUCUUCUGCUUCGGAUCCGAGUAUUGAUUCGGGUCGGAACGGUAAACGCGCGGCAGCGGCGUCGGUUGGGGCGCACAGGGCUGCUGGGCGAGAAGGGGCCGGCGUGCGUCGGUGGAGCCACACCAGGGAUUGGGAUCCGUGGAGGACGCCGGAACGCGCUCGCAAGGGGAAAGCCAGGCGGUGGUCGGCUGCUCACGUUGAAGUUGCUGCCGUAAUCUGGGGUGGUGGAGGCUCACGCCUGGCAGUAGCAGAGAGGCAGGAGGUUGCUGGAACUCGGUGGUUUACGCCGGAAGAGAAGGGAGAUUUGCAGGUGCACCAGUCCGGUGUUUGGAGACUGGGUCGAGGCCGGAGCGGUGCGCAAGGCUGCUAGGCUUCGACCGAGAUGAUGGGGCUGCCGGGGUGGAGGUCCAAGGCCGAAGGAAGCCUGGUGCACUCGCUGCCGGGGUGACGCAAGGCAGGGGGCAACCGGCAGAGAGGUGGGUUGGGUGGCCAGAGCAAAUUUCUGGGUGUCCAAGUCAAAAUCGAUGGGUUAGAUCAAAACAUUUGAACCGCCCUAGCUGGGUUAGAUCAAGAAAUAUUUGAACAAGAUCAAAACCCUCUUGAUAUUUUGAGCAUCGGUUAGAUCCGCCCUAGCUGGUAUCAAAGCCUGCUUGGCUCAAAAGCAGGUGACAAAAGGCUUAUGCCACAAAGUUAGCUUCUCUUGACUAAUAAAAGAGAAUCCAAAUUAAAAAAUUAUCAGUCUUUUUGUACUGCAAAAAGAACUGACAAGUGGGAAGUGUGCUUUCAUUCAAGGCACAUCCAAGAAAACCAGUACUCCAUUGAAUACGUGUGUAGAGUAUUAAAUACGCUCUACGACGAACAUAUUUAUCUCCAAAGANNNNN